GACGGAGGGUGCAAGCGUUGUUCGGAAUUACUGGGCGUAAAGCGUGCGCAGGCGGCGCGUUAAGACAGGUGUGAAAGCCCCGAGCUUAACUUGGGAAUUGCGCUUGUGACUGGCGAGCUGGAGUGUGGCAGAGGGGGUGGAAUUCCACGUGUAGCGGUGAAAUGCGUAGAGAUGUGGAGGAACACCAGUGGCGAAGGCGACUCUUUGGCCUGUAACUGACGCUGAGGCGCGAAAGCGUGGGGAGCAAACAGG
rnacentral:rRNA from 1 species